UGGACGGAACAGCAGCCGAGACGGCUGGA
rnacentral:sRNA from 1 species